rnacentral:rRNA from 1 species
CCGCGUGUGUGAAGAAGGCCCUCGGGUUGUAAAGCACUUUCAGCGAGGAAGAACGCCUAGCGGUUAAUACCCGCUAGGAAAGACAUCACUCGCAGAAGAAGCACCGGCUAACUCCGUGCCAGCAGCCGCGGUAAUACGGAGGGUGCAAGCGUUAAUCGGAAUUACUGGGCGUAAAGCGCGCGUAGGUGGCUUGAUAAGCCGGUUGUGAAAGCCCCGGGCUCAACCUGGGAACGGCAUCCGGAACUGUCAAGCUAGAGUGCAGGAGAGGAAGGUAGAAUUCCCGGUGUAGCGGUGAAAUGCGUAGAGAUCGGGAGGAAUACCAGUGGCGAAGGCGGCCUUCUGGACUGACACUGACACUGAGGUGCGAAAGCGUGGGUAGCAAACAGGAUUAGAUACCCUGGUAGUCCACGCCGUAAACGAUGUCGACCAGCCGUUGGGUGCCUAGCGCACUUUGUGGCGAAGUUAACGCGAUAAGUCGACCGCCUGGGGAGUACGGCCGCAAGGUUAAAA